CGCAGUAGGAUAGGCGAAGCGUGCGAUUGGAUUGCACGUCUAAGCAGUAAGGCUGAGUAUUAGGCAAAUCCGGUACUCGUUAAGGCUGAGCUGUGAUGGGGAGAAGACAUUGUGUCUUCGAGUCGUUGAUUUCACACUGCCGAGAAAAGCCUCUAGAUAGAAAAUAGGUGCCCGUACCGCAAACCGACACAGGUAGUCAAGAUGAGAAUUCUAAGGUGAGCGAGCGAACUCUCGUUAAGGAACUCGGCAAAAUGACCCCGUAACUUCGGGAGAAGGGGUGCUCUUUAGGGUUAACGCCCAGAAGAGCCGCAGUGAAUAGGCCCAAGCGACUGUUUAUCAAAAACACAGGUCUCUGCUAAACCGUAAGGUGAUGUAUAGGGGCUGACGCCUGCCCGGUGCUGGAAGGUUAAGAGGAGUGGUUAGCUUCUGCGAAGCUACGAAUCGAAGCCCCAGUAAACGGCGGCCGUAACUAUAACGGUCCUAAGGUAGCGAAAUUCCUUGUCGGGUAAGUUCCGACCCGCACGAAAGGCGUAACGAUUUGGGCACUGUCUCAACGAGAGACUCGGUGAAAUCAUAGUACCUGUGAAGAUGCAGGUUACCCGCGACAGGACGGAAAGACCCCGUGGAGCUUUACUGUAGCCUGAUAUUGAAAUUCGGCACAGCUUGUACAGGAUAGGUAGGAGCCUUUGAAACGUGAGCGCUAGCUUACGUGGAGGCGCUGGUGGGAUACUACCCUAGCUGUGUUGGCUUUCUAACCCGCACCACUUAUCGUGGUGGGAGACAGUGUCAGGCGGGCAGUUUGACUGGGGCGGUCGCCUCCUAAAAGGUAACGGAGGCGCUCAAAGGUUCCCUCAGAAUGGUUGGAAAUCAUUCAUAGAGUGUAAAGGCAUAAGGGAGCUUGACUGCGAGACCUACAAGUCGAGCAGGGUCGAAAGACGGACUUAGUGAUCCGGUGGUUCCGCAUGGAAGGGCCAUCGCUCAACGGAUAAAAGCUACCCCGGGGAUAACAGGCUUAUCUCCCCCAAGAGUUCACAUCGACGGGGAGGUUUGGCACCUCGAUGUCGGCUCAUCGCAUCCUGGGG
rnacentral:rRNA from 1 species